UCCCUGGUAGCUCAGAUGGUAAAGCAUCUGACUGCCAUGCAGGAGACCCAGGUUCGAUCCCUGGGUUGGGAA